rnacentral:rRNA from 1 species
UGGGGAAUUUUGGACAAUGGGCGAAAGCCUGAUCCAGCAAUGCCGCGUGUGUGAAGAAGGCCUUCGGGUUGUAAAGCACUUUUGUCCAGAAAGAAAUCCUUGGCUCUAAUACAGUCGGGGGAUGACGGUACCGGAAGAAUAAGCACCGGCUAACUACGUGCCAGCAGCCGCGGUAAUACGUAGGGUGCAAGCGUUAAUCGGAAUUACUGGGCGUAAAGCGUGCGCAGGCGGUUUGCUAAGACCGAUGUGAAAUCCCCGGGCUCAACCUGGGAACUGCAUUGGUGACUGGCAGGCUAGAGUAUGGCAGAGGGGGGUAGAAUUCCACGUGUAGCAGGUGAAAUGCGUAGAGAUGUGGAGGAAUACCGAUGGCGAAGGCAGCCCCCUGGGCCAAUACUGACGCUCAUGCACGAAAGCGUGGGGAGCAAACGGGAUUAGAUACCCUGGUAGUCCACGCCCUAAACGAUGUCAACUAGUUGUUGGGGAUUCAUUUCCUUAGUAACGUAGCUAACGCGUGAAGUUGACCGCUGGGGAGUACGUCGCAAGAUUAAAACUCAAAUGAAUUGACGGGGUC